GCAAGCAUAAAUUAAUGUGUAAUCACAGCUGAUCUAAAAUUAGUCAGAUGAAAGUCUCAAAAAUAGGUAAAAUCAAGAGAUAUGCGAGUGGUUACACCCUACCAGAUUUUGCAUACAAGGCAGUAAGUGUGUAAUCAGCUCAACCAACAACUGCUUAGGUAAAUGGCAAAUAUUCGAAAUUUGCUUUAUUUGAUAAAGUAUUUGUGAAUUCCGUGACGGUGGUUACAUAUUGAACUAAUUUAUAGCAAGUAGCUGUCUAUUGAACUGGUCUUGGUAUCACUAACAAAAAGACACAGAAUAAGUACUUAUGAAUUUGAAACAUGAGAAAAUGAACUUUAUGCUCGUUGCUACUUCUGUUUAUAUGGCUUUGUAAAUAAUCUUAACAGCCACAGUAAAGUUAAUAACAAUACAAAAUGAUAUUAGAAGAAGCGUUUGUCGAGGAGGAAUUAGCAAAACAUGUGGGCUAUUACCCUAGAAGAGUCGCAAGUUUGUAGAGAGUAGAUGUGUAGUCAUGCUCGGUUAAGAUUGUGUUACUAUCACAUAUUGUGUAUUCGAAAACAUCAUUAGCCUUUAUGGCUGACAAGUUGUAUAAAGACACCUUGAUGUUGACAAGGUUCCCACCUUACGUUUGUUAAGCUCCUGCUUGUGGUUUGGUCAUUAGACAACA